GAAGCUGUUGUCGAUCACAAAGGUGAUGAGUGGCAUGAUCUCCAGAACCUAGCACUAGCGUAUCAUUCGCGUAGCGCUAAACCGCUAUCGAGGCGGAAUUGAUAGCAAGUGCUGGGUCGAUUUACGACGGUUUUUCGAGAUUUGCACGCCGGUUCUCUGCAAUCGCACUGCAGAGGUCAGGGGUUCGAUUCCCCUCAGCUCCACCA
rnacentral:tRNA from 1 species